AUUGAACGCUGGCGGCAUGCUUUACACAUGCAAGUCGAACGGCAGCGCGGGGCAACCUGGCGGCGAGUGGCGAACGGGUGAGUAAUACAUCGGAACGUACCCAGAAGUGGGGGAUAACGUAGCGAAAGUUACGCUAAUACCGCAUACGUUCUACGGAAGAAAGUGGGGGAUCGCAAGACCUCAUGCUUUUGGAGCGGCCGAUGUCUGAUUAGCUAGUUGGUGAGUUAAAGGCUCAACAAGGGGACGAUCAGUAGCUGGUAUGGGAGGACGACCAGACACACAGGGACUGAGACACGGACGAGACUCCUACGGGAGGCAGCAGUGAGGAAGUUUGGACAAUGAGCGAAAGCCUGAUCCAGCAAUGCCGCGUGAGUGAAGAAGGCAUUCGGGUUGUAAAGCUCUUUUGUCAGGGAAGAAACGGCUGAGGUUAAUACCUUCGGCUAAUGACGGUACCUGAAGAAUAAGCACCGGCUAACUACGUGCCAGCCGCCGCCGUAA
rnacentral:rRNA from 1 species